rnacentral:misc_RNA from 1 species
CCUGCUUUGCACGCAGGAGGUCUGCGGUUCGAUCCCGCAUAGCUCCACCAUCACUUCAGAGUGUACUCAAUGAGUAUACUGCGAAGUAUUUGCUCUUUAACAAUCCGGAACAAGCUGAAAAUUGAAACAGACAUGCUGCUGCAUUUCUCCGUAAUAAGAAAUGCGCGGUAUGUCAGAGUCUCUCAAACUCGCAGCACGAAGA